rnacentral:sRNA from 1 species
AAAGAACCAUUUGAACUCACAUUUUAGAUUAUAUUGAUAUAUCAAUAGAUUAGUCCCUUCAACAUAUAGGUUUAUAUUUUGUGUCUUUAUAAGUAUCAGGUCAAGUCAAUUUAUUGUCAGUUAUGACAAAUUCUUAGACGCUGUGAACAAUAAGUUUAAUGUCGGUUCAAGAUUUACAAUGCGGUUUGAGGGUGAUGAUUUCUCUGAAAGAAGGUAACAUUAGAUGAAAUUUAUUUUCU